AAAAAUGUUCUUUAUGAUUUGGUUUGCUUGCUUAUCGAAUUGGUAUUGAUCUUACCAGUGGCAACGCCAAGUGUUGAAAAAGUAUUUUUGGCAAUGAAUCUAGUGAAAAAUAACUUGAGAAAUAGUAUGGGUGAUGAUCUCAUCAACUAUUGCUGA
rnacentral:rRNA from 1 species